rnacentral:rRNA from 1 species
CCUACGGGUGGCAGCAGUGAGGAAUAUUGGUCAAUGGACGCAAGUCUGAACCAGCCAUGCCGCGUGCAGGAAGACGGCUCUAUGAGUUGUAAACUGCUUUUGUACGGGGAUAAACGCAGAUACGUGUAUCUGUCUGAAAGUAUCGUACGAAUAAGGAUCGGCUAACUCCGUGCCAGCAGCCGCGGUAAUACGGAGGAUUCGAGCGUUAUCCGGAUUUAUUGGGUGUAAAGGGUGCGUAGGCGGGCGGAUAAGUUAGAGGUGAAAUCCCGAGGCUCAACUUCGGAAUUGCCUCUGAUACUGUCAGGCUAGAGAGUAGGUGAGGUAGGCGGAAUGUAUGGUGUAGCGGUGAAAUGCUUAGAGAUCAUACAGAACACCGAUUGCGAAGGCAGCGUACCAGGCUACUACUGACGUUGAGGCACGAAAGCGUGGGGAGCAAACAGGAUUAGAUACCCCUGUAGUC